rnacentral:rRNA from 1 species
AACGAACGCUGGCGGCAGGCUUAACACAUGCAAGUCGAACGCAUCGCAAGAUGAGUGGCAGACGGGUGAGUAACGCGUGGGAAUCUACCUAGUUCUACGGAACAACAGUUGGAAACGACUGCUAAUACCGUAUACGCCCUACGGGGGAAAGAUUUAUCGGAAUUAGAUGAGCCCGCGUAAGAUUAGCUAGUUGGUGGGGUAAUGGCCUACCAAGGCGACGAUCUUUAGCUGGUCUGAGAGGAUGAUCAGCCACACUGGGACUGAGACACGGCCCAGACUCCUACGGGAUGCAGCAGUGGGGAAUAUUGGACAAUGGGCGCAAGCCUGAUCCAGCCAUGCCGCGUGAGUGAUGAAGGCCUUAGGGUUGUAAAGCUCUUUCACCGAUGAAGAUAAUGACGGUAGUCGGAGAAGAAGCCCCGGCUAACUUCGUGCCAGCAGCCGCGGUAACAC